rnacentral:rRNA from 1 species
UGUGUGUUAGUGGAAGCGUCUGGAAAGGCGCGCGAUACAGGGUGACAGCCCCGUACACAAAAAUGCACAUGCUGUGAGCUCGAUGAGUAGGGCGGGACACGUGGUAUCCUGUCUGAAUAUGGGGGGACCAUCCUCCAAGGCUAAAUACUCCUGACUGACCGAUAGUGAACCAGUACCGUGAGGGAAAGGCGAAAAGAACCCCGGCGAGGGGAGUGAAAAAGAACCUGAAACCGUGUACGUACAAGCAGUGGGAGCACAGAGCAAUCUGUGUGACUGCGUACCUUUUGUAUAAUGGGUCAGCGACUUAUAUUCUGUAGCAAGGUUAACCGAAUAGGGGAGCC